rnacentral:rRNA from 1 species
GACGAACGCUGGCGGCGUGCUUAACACAUGCAAGUCGAACGGAAAGGCCCUGCUUUUGUGGGGUGCUCGAGUGGCGAAGGGGUGAGUAACACGUGAGUAACCUGCCCUUGACUUUGGGAUAACUUCAGGGAACUGGGGCUAAUACCGGAUAGGAGCUCCUGCUGCAUGGGGGGGGUUGGAAAGUUUCGGCGGUGGGGGCUGGACUCGCGGCUUAUCAGCUUGUUGGUGGGGUAGUGGCUUACCAAGGCUUUGACGGGUAGCCGGCCUGAGAGGGUGACCGGGCACAUUGGGACUAAGGUACGGCGCAGAAUCCUACGGGAGGCAGCAGUGGGGAAUAUUGCACAAUGGGCGGAAGCCUGAUGCAGAAACGCCGCGUGCGGGAUGACGGCCUUCGGGUUGUAAACCGAUUUCGCCUGUGACGAAGCGUGAGUGACGGUAAUGGGUAAAGAAGCACCGGCUAACUACGUG